GGAGGUGAGGGGGAUCUGUCUGCAACAUCCAUUGCCCAUUGAUCGCCAGGGUUGAUUCGGCUGAUCUGGCUUGCUAGGCAAGUGUCCCCUCCCUCCCUCAACGGUCCAUGUACACCCCCCUGUCAGUACGCCUUUGAGCCGAUGCCAAGGACUGGGCUCAACA
rnacentral:sRNA from 1 species